AAAGCGUGGUUCCUAUAAAUACAGAUAUCUUUCGUCACGUUCGACUUAUAUGUGCUCGGUGUUAUUUUUUCGGAUUUUCGGGGGUGCUGAACUUAUCAUAAUAUAGAAAUACAUCUCCGCGUCUGAAUACACCGUUGCACCUGCUCUAGAAAUCGAAACUUUCAGAGCGUAUUUUUACCGGUACAAAAAACAUGUUUUUCCUGAAACUCAUUAUUUGUAAGACCGUGAGCUGUGAAAUCCUUAUGGUGUCGAAUAUAAAAAUAUGUUCGUCUUAGACGUGGUGUCGUGUUUGCGAUUUUAUCACGAGGGAGGAGAAAAGUGGGGUGGAUUGAAAAAGGUUUCAUCAUUGCGAUUCGUUCAAUCGAAGACAAAUAAACACUCCUGAUGAAUUCGUGCGUGGAUUCCAAA